rnacentral:rRNA from 1 species
UACGUAGGGGGCUAGCGUUGCUCGGAAUCACUGGGCGUAAAGGGCGCGUAGGCGGCGUUUUAAGUCGGGGGUGAAAGCCUGUGGCUCAACCACAGAAUUGCCUUCGAUACUGGGACGCUUGAGUGUGGUAGAGGUUGGUGGAACUGCGAGUGUAGAGGUGAAAUUCGUAGAUAUUCGCAAGAACACCAGUGGCGAAGGCGGCUCACUGGCCCGAUACUGACGCUGAGGCACGAAAGCGUGGGGAGCAAACAGG